rnacentral:rRNA from 1 species
GGUGGUUUGUCGCGUUGUUCGUGAAAACUCACAGCUUAACUGUGGGCGUGCGGGCGAUACGGGCAGACUGGAGUACUGCAGGGGAGACUGGAAUUCCUGGUGUAGCGGUGGAAUGCGCAGAUAUCAGGAGGAACACCGGUGGCGAAGGCGGGUCUCUGGGCAGUAACUGACGCUGAGGAGCGAAAGCGUGGGGAGCGAACAGGAUUAGAUACCCUGGUAGUCCACGCCGUAAACGGUGGGUACUAGGUGUGGGUUUCCUUCCUUGGGAUCCGUGCCGUAGCUAACGCAUUAAGUACCCCGCCUGGGGAGUACGGCCGCAAGGCUAAAACUCAAAGGAAUUGACGGGGGCCCGCACAAGCGGCGGAGCAUGUGGAUUAAUUCGAUGCAACGCGAAGAACCUUACCUGGGUUUGACAUGCACAGGACGUGCCUAGAGAUAGGUAUUCCCUUGUGGCCUGUGUGCAGGUGGUGCAU